rnacentral:rRNA from 1 species
UGGGGAAUUUUGGACAAUGGGCGAAAGCCUGAUCCAGCAAUGCCGCGUGUGUGAAGAAGGCCUUCGGGUUGUAAAGCACUUUUGUCCGGAAAGAAAUCCUUGGCUCUAAUACAGUCGGGGGAUGACGGUACCGGAAGAAUAAGCACCGGCUAACUACGUGCCAGCAGCCGCGGUAAUACGUAGGGUGCAAGCGUUAAUCGGAAUUACUGGGCGUAAAGCGUGCGCAGGCGGUUUGCUAAGACCGAUGUGAAAUCCCCGGGCUCAACCUGGGAACUGCAUUGGUGACUGGCAGGCUAGAGUAUGGCAGAGGGGGGUAGAAUUCCACGUGUAGCAGUGAAAUGCGUAGAGAUGUGGAGGAAUACCGAUGGCGAAGGCAGCCCCCUGGGCCAAUACUGACGCUCAUGCACGGAAAGCGUGGGGAGCAAAACAGGAUUAGAUACCCUGGUAGUCCACGCCCUAAAACGAUGUCAACUAGUUGUUGGGGAUUCAUUUCCUUAGUAACGUAGCUAAACGCGUGAAGUUGACCGCCUGGGGAGUACGGUCGCAAAGAUUAAAACUCAAAGGAAUUGACGGGGUCAUAGCUGUUUCCU